rnacentral:rRNA from 1 species
CUACGUGCCAGCAGCCGCGGUAAUACGUAGGGUGCGAGCGUUAAUCGGAAUUACUGGGCGUAAAGCGAGCGCAGACGGUUACUUAAGCAGGAUGUGAAAUCCCCGGGCUCAACCUGGGAACUGCGUUCUGAACUGGGUGACUAGAGUGUGUCAGAGGGAGGUAGAAUUCCACGUGUAGCAGUGAAAUGCGUAGAGAUGUGGAGGAAUACCGAUGGCGAAGGCAGCCUCCUGGGAUAACACUGACGUUCAUGCUCGAAAGCGUGGGUAGCAAACAGGAUUAGAUACCCUGGUAGUCCACGCCCUAAACGAUGUCAAUUAGCUGUUGGGCAACUUGAUUGCUUAGUAGCGUAGCUAACGCGUGAAAUUGACCGCCUGGGGAGUACGGUCGCAAGAUUAAAACUCAAAGGAAUUGACGGGGACCCGCACAAGCGGUGGAUGAUGUGGAUUAAUUCGAUGCAACGCGAAGAACCUUACCUGGUCUUGACAUGUACGGAAUCCUCCAGAGACGGAAGGGUGC